GUCGCGGUGGUCGAGGGCGGCACGGUCCGCGAGCUCGGCACCCACGAGGGGUUGUUGUCCCGCGGCGGUUCCUACGCCGACCUGUGGCAC
rnacentral:tRNA from 1 species